GAUGAACGCUGGCGGCGUGCCUAAUACAUGCAAGUCGAGCGAACUGAUUAGAAGCUUGCUUCUAUGACGUUAGCGGCGGACGGGUGAGUAACACGUGGGCAACCUGCCUGUAAGACUGGGAUAACUUCGGGAAACCGAAGCUAAUACCGGAUAGGAUCUUCUCCUUCAUGGGAGAUGAUUAAAAGAUGGUGUCGGCUAUCACUUACAGAUGGGCCCGCGUUGCAUUAGCUAGUUUGGGAGGUAACGGCUCACCAAGGCAACGAUGCAUAGCCGACCUGAGAGGGGGAUCGGCCACACUGGGACUGAGACACGGCCCAGACUCCUCCGGGAGGCAGCAGUAGGGAAUCUUCCGCAAUGGACGAAAGUCUGACGGAGCAACGCCGCGUGAGUGAUGAAGGCUUUCGGGUCGUAAAACUCUGUUGUUAGGGAAGAACAAGUACGAGAGUAACUGCUCGUACCUUGACGGUACCUAACCAGAAAGCCACGGCUAACUACGUGCCAGCCGCCGCGGUAACAC
rnacentral:rRNA from 1 species